CCACAACAGAGUUGUGCCUCGUUCUACUGUGAGUUUUCUCGCUUCGUUUCUAUCUUGAUUUUUUUCAUUAGAGUGAGGAGCCAUGGGUAUAACAGCGUCUUCUGGAUCACUACUACCUAAGUGGAUGCUUAGGUAGUGGAAUGGUUUUGAAAGGUAGUGGAAGAAGAAGCGUUGGGACAAACAUAAGCUUAAGCUAAGCUAACCUCCAGUGUUUUAUAUGGCAUGGUUUUGAUUUAUGGUUAGUCUUCCAGUUGCUUAGAAUGUGUUCUUUUGAUGCUGCAGUCAUGGAAUCUUUGUACCUAUGCAAUUUGGAUUGCUCUAAUGGACUUAGGUUAGGUUGUUAUGUUUUGUUGAAUGUGUGGAAGGUAUAAAUUAAGAAGCCUAAGUUUAUAAGAAGUUUGGUUCUCUUGUUAAUAAAAAAAUAUAGAAUAAUUAUGCAGUAAAAAUCUGCAUAAUUUCCAGCAUUAGCAAUAGAAGUAGCAACAUGGCUUUACAAGCAUUACCAUGCCUUUACAGCAAUAUAACACCAGAACUCCAGCACUACAUUCGCAUGAGAACAUAUAAAAAAAAGUGAUUCAACAACAGAAAAUAAAAGACAACAUAAGAGACUAACUAAAGCACUGAAAUGGUCGAACCAAGUAGCAGCAGGGACAGUAACAGUUGAACAUUAGGGAGACAUAAACCAGAACAUUUCUUUCUUUGUAACAAUUUUUCAUUUCUUUGUUCUUCUUUUCUUAUAUAUGUAAUUCUCUUAAAAUGUUUUCCGAAAACUAAGCUCUAAACUUAUUAUUUUUAAAUAAAUUAUGCAAAUUAUUAGAGAGAUUUUUUUAAACAAAUAAUUACAAAAAGUAGAGAUGAUAUAUAUUUUUAUUAUAAGUGAUGCAAAUAUGAUAACUUAUAAUAAUCUACCAGAAUCAACAUUUAUGUGAAGUACAAAAGACAACCUAGUUCAAGUACAAACAGUUUUGGUAUACUUGGAUUUGUUUUGGUGUUGUGCUACUAAGUAUGGAUACUACGUUUUUAUUAGUUAUUAAGAGUGUUUUAGGAUCAAAUUAAGAGUGAAGAAUUGAUGAGAGCAUUAGGUUUCUAAAAAUCAGAAAAGCGAUUAUGAAGCCUUGAAUGUGUGAGUAUAAGUAUAGGAUAUAGAGCCAUUCAUAAUGUCAAAGGAUGAUUUCAAAUGAGAGAUUGAAA
rnacentral:lncRNA from 1 species